rnacentral:rRNA from 1 species
UGAAGCUGGAGUUACUAGUAAUCGCAGAUCAGAAUGCUGCGGUGAAUGCGUUCCCGGGUCUUGUACACACCGCCCGUCACACCACGGGAGUUGGAGACGCCCGAAGCCGAUUAUCUAACCUUUUGGACGAAGUCGUCGAAGGUGGAAUCAAUAACUGGGGUGAAGUCGUAACAAGGUAGCCGUAUCGGAAGGUGCGGCUGGAUCACCUCCUUUCUAAGGAGA